AGCUUUGCGCAGUGGCAGUAUCGUAGCCAAUGAGGUUCAUCUGAGGCAUGAUUAUUGCUAAUUGAAAAAUAUCCUACACAUUAAUUAA
rnacentral:snRNA from 1 species